rnacentral:lncRNA from 1 species
GUUUGUGCCUUUUAUUAUCUGUGAGAUCCUAUGUAGUCCUAUAUAUAAGAUAUAAUAGGACUAAAACUCUUAACCCGACUAUAGUAUUUUGGGUGGUGAAUAAGCUCAAAAGAUUAAGAGAGUUAAGCUUGCUAGGGUUAGAGUAGUUUUAAGAUGAGUGACACUCUGGGAAGUUGGGGCAUCAUAAUUUGGUAUCAGAGCCAAUUACCAAUCAGAAGUGUAAGAUAAAUCUCGACUGAGCCAAAUUAUGCAACGCAAAAAGCGAGAUUCUGAUACUGAUGACUGUUGUAAGCAGAGCGCGGCUCCCAUACAAGGUCGGUUAAGACUAGCGCGACGAGUCUCAUAUCGUCUAGUACUUAUGAGUCUGAGUCUAGACGUCCUACCAUUUUGGGUGUUGAUUAGGUCCGAAAGAUUAAGAAAGUUAAGCGUGUGAGGAAUAGAAUAGUUCUAGAAUUGACGACCUUCGAAAAGUGCAUUAUUGUAGUUUUUAUUG